AUUUUAGAGAAAAGGGACCUUGACCUGGGUGGGGGGCAAAAUGAUUGACUGGGUGGGUGGCCCUUCGAAUACAAGAAUGUAAAUACAGUUGAACACCGCUGGUUGAACUCGUGCACUUAUCUCGAACUCCUCGCUAUUUCCAAAUUAAACCCGUUUCGCGUGGAUUUGCAAUAUUAUUUCAAUCAUUUUUAUUCGGUUAUCUCGAAUUCGGAUAAAUCCCCGAUAUUUCGAACUAAUUGUGAUUCCCUUGACCGAAUUUACCCUAUUAUCUCGAAAUCUAAUGACUUUGAACUUAUUGACGUUCGGAGCGUAACCAUGCACAUAAAACGAACUCAUAGUAAAUAAAGAAUGCAAUCUGUUUUAUGCGUCUUAUGCUGUUGGAGUGUUGCCGUUCCAACUACCCAAACUCACUAUUGAACGGGCGGUGGAGCGGGGGCUGAAUUGUGCAAGAACGUUUGUCAUAAAUUGUAUAGACGACGCGAAAAUUAACACCGCGGAAAAACGUCUGCGCAUGCACCAAAUUAUGAAAAUUAUGAAAAACGGUUUUCAUCUAAUAACUGAGAUCCUAAUUACAAAUUCAAGUCAAAACACAACAAUGUACUAUAAUAUAUAUAUAUAUAAGCCAAUGAAAUGUUUUCGUUUGAGAUGUUGUGUAAACAACUCGUUUCUCGUGUUUCAUCAGGGGACCAAACACUCGUGUUUGGAUCCCCUGAUGAAACACUCAAACUCGCUGUUUACAUAUAACAUAAAAAAUUAACGUAUAGCUGUACGAUUUGGAUAUUAAGCUAUGUCAAUGUCUAUAGUUUUCGCAGUGUGCAAUGGGGUCAUUCGUUUCCGUGCUUAGAUACAGGUCAGGUACAGGUGGGUUUCAGGCAAUCCCAGCAGACGCCAACUUCAAAUGAAAUUCUUUUGUUUAAAUGCCUUCCAUGUACACUGAACUGGAGCAUGAUGAAAGCCACCUAUUAACGCCGUUUUCCACUUCAACCGUAUCGAACCAAAGCUUAGUGUAUUUCUUUGUUUCCUGAGCAUUAGAGUGAAACUAAUCACUUCGACACAAAAGUGAAUGCUACGAUACGGUUGUAGCGAAAAACAGGCUUUAGAACUAUGAUUCGGACAUGUGUAAAUUACUUUGAAUAUAAUAUAAUGUGGACUUAAUACUUUAGAUAUGCAAAUAUGUAAUCAUUUUGAACUUUGAUAGUAAAAUUAUUUUGACAUAUUAUGGGUGAAUUUCUUGAUAUGCAGUGAAAGUGCCAGAUCUUUUUGGCAUACAAACACGAGUAGAAUUAUGGGUUGUGAUUCCUCUUUAUAAAACCUUUCGUAUUUUUCAAUAAUCCUAAAGACGUCAAUG